rnacentral:rRNA from 1 species
GAUGAACGCUGGCGGCGUGCCUAAUACAUGCAAGUCGAGCGAACAGACGAGGAGCUUGCUCCUCUGACGUUAGCGGCGGACGGGUGAGUAACACGUGGAUAACCUACCUAUAAGACUGGGAUAACUUCGGGAAACCGGAGCUAAUACCGGAUAAUAUAUUGAACCGCAUGGUUCAAUAGUGAAAGACGGUUUUGCUGUCACUUAUAGAUGGAUCCGCGCCGCAUUAGCUAGUUGGUAAGGUAACGGCUUACCAAGGCAACGAUGCGUAGCCGACCUGGGAGGGUGAUCGGCCACACUGGAACUGAGACACGGUCCAGACUCCUACGGGAGGCAGCAGUAGGGAAUCUUCCGCAAAGGGCGAAAGCCUGACGGAGCAACGCCGCGUGAGUGAUGAAGGUCUUCGGAUCGUAAAACCCUGUUAUUAGGGAAGAACAAAUGUGUAAGUAACUAUGCACGUCUUGACGGUACCUAAUCAGAAAGCCACGGCUAACUACGUG